AUCAACUUUCGAUGGUAGGAUAGAGGCCUACCAUGGUGGUAACGGGUAACGGGGUGUUAGGGCACGACACCGGAGAGGGAGCCUGAGAAACGGCUACCACAUCCAAGGAUGGCAGCAGGCGCGCAAAUUACCCAAUCCCGACACGGGGAGGUAGUGACAAUAAAUAACAAUACGGGGUUCUUUCGGAUUUCGUAAUUGGAAUGAGUACAAUUUAAAUCUCUUAACGAGGAACAAUUGGAGGGCAAGUCUGGUGCCAGCAGCCGCGGUAAUUCCAGCUCCAAUAGCGUAUAUUAAAGUUGUUGCAGUUAAAAAGCUCGUAGUUGAAUUUCGGGGUCAGUAGAUUGGUCGUGCCACUGGUAUGCACUGGUCUUACUGGCUCCUCCUUCCUGAUGAACCGUAAUGCCAUUAAUUUGGUGUUGCGGGGAGACUGGACUGUUACUUUGAAAAAAUUAGAGUGUUUAAAGCAGGCUAACGCUUGAAUACAUUAGCAUGGAAUAAUGAAAUAGGACGUUCGAUCUUAUUUUGUUGGUUUCUAAGAUUGACGUAAUGAUUAAUAGGGAUAGUUGGGGGCAUUAGUAUUCAAUUGUCAGAGGUGAAAUUCUUGGAUUUAUUGAAGACUAACUACUGCGAAAGCAUUUGCCAAGGAUGUUUUCAUUAAUCAAGAACGAAAGUUAGGGGAUCGAAGACGAUCAGAUACCGUCGUAGUCUUAACCAUAAACUAUGCCGACUAGGGAUCGGAUGAUGUUAAUUUUUUAAUGACUCAUUCGGCGCCUUACGGGAAACCAAAGUGUUUGGGUUC
rnacentral:rRNA from 1 species